rnacentral:lncRNA from 1 species
GUCGAUUAAUAUUUAAGAAUUAUCAUGAAAUGGUUUACCAAAGCUACAUAUAAAAAUCUUACACAGUUCUAUCGUAUCAGAUCCUGCCAAAGCAAUUGAAUGUUAUUAUAAUCACUGCAAACAUUUGUUCAAGUUGCAUUAUCCAACAAAAAAAAAUGAUGCUAUAAUCAACGCUUUUACAUCGCGUAAAAAUAUUAAAAAAGAAUAUGAAUGAUGUGUCAUUUGUUUUGAGGAAAUAUAG